rnacentral:rRNA from 1 species
AACGAACGCUGGCGGCAUGCCUAACACAUGCAAGUCGAACGAGACCUUCGGGUCUAGUGGCGCACGGGUGCGUAACGCGUGGGAACCUGCCCUUAGGUUCGGAAUAACUCCCCGACAGGGGUGCUAAUACCGGAUAAUGUCCUCGGACCAAAGAUUUAUCGCCUUUGGAUGGGCCCGCGUUGGAUUAGCUAGUUGGUAGGGUAAAAGCCUACCAAGGCGGCGAUCCAUAGCUGGUCUGAGAGGAUGAUCAGCCACACUGGGACUGGGACACGGCCCGGACACCUGCGGGAGGCAGCAGUGGGGAAUAAUGGACAAUGGGCGAAAGCCUGAUCCAGCAGUGCCGCGUGAGUGAUGAAGGCCUUAGGGAUGUAAAGCUCUUUUACCCGGGAUGAUAAUGACAGUACCGGGAGAAUAAGCUCCGGCUAACUCCGU